AGUGAACGCUGGCGGUAGGCCUAACACAUGCAAGUCGAACGGCAGCACAGUAGAGCUUGCUCUUACGGGUGGCGAGUGGCGGACGGGUGAGGAAUACAUCGGAAUCUACUUUUUCGUGGGGGAUAACGUAGGGAAACUUACGCUAAUACCGCAUACGACCUACGGAUGAAAGCAGGGGAUCUUCGGACCUUGCGCGAUUGAAUGAGCCGAUGUCGGAUUAGCUAGUUGGCGGGGUAAAGGCCCACCAAGGCGACGAUCCGUAGCUGGUCUGAGAGGAUGAUCAGCCACACUGGAACUGAGACACGGUCCAGACUCCUACGGGAGGCAGCAGUGGGGAAUAUUGGACAAUGGGCGCAAGCCUGAUCCAGCCAUACCGCGUGGGUGAAGAAGGCCUUCGGGUUGUAAAGCCCUUUUGUUGGGAAAGAAAAGCAGCAGGUUAAUACCCCGCUGUUCUGACGGUACCCAAAGAAUAAGCACCGGCUAACUUCGUG
rnacentral:rRNA from 1 species